UUAGCUGUCCAGAGUGAACUGUUACAGGUAACUUAGGUGUUCAACAGACAGUGGAUUGUACAGAGGAAGUCACAGAACUGGAGUAUGAGCCUUUGCACUUCAGCUCUAGGGAGGUACAAGGAGGAAUCUGAGGCUACACCUGCUUUUUGUUGGUAAGAGUCUACAUCAUUGCUUAUUCUUAAACAUGCAGAUAAAUCAGAACUAAGGUCUUAAGAAACCCUUCCCUGUAGCAGAAAUUCAGACUUCAGUAAGAAAGUAGAUGCUUUUAGUUCUGUUGUCAGUUGAUUGAAGAAAACCCGUACUCUACCUGGAAAUCUCUAACUCCAGCAC